rnacentral:rRNA from 1 species
GUUAUACAGGUGUUGCAUGGCUGUUGUCAGCUCGUGCCGUGAGGUGUUUGGAUAAGUCCUUUAACGAGCGCAACUCUUUUGUUAUGAUGGUAAUUUUUUAGAUAAAUCUNNNNNNNCCACUAAUAAAAUCAUGCUAGUGAUAAACUAGAGGAAGGUGAGAAUGACGUCAAGCCCUUAUGGCCCUUAUGGACUGGGCUACACACGUGGGGCAAUGGUAAUUACAAAAAGUUAUACAAUAAAGUUAUUUGGAGUAAAUCUUUAAAAAUUUCCGUAUUCGGAUUGUAGACUGCCACUCGUCUACAGAAGGUGGAAUCACAAGUAAUUGUGGAUCAGCUCGAUACGGUGAAUUUGAACAAAGACGUAGUACACGCCACCCGUCACA